UCAAUCCAAAGACCGGAAAUAAGUAAGAACGUGCAUAUGGAAAAAAAACGUGUGCGCGGAAAUCACUUCCAUUUACUUUUGCUCAGAAAUUCUUAGUGAACCACUUGGACAAACUCCCUAUAUCCCUAACCCCACAUUUCAAACAAAUUAUACAUCUUUGACUCACCAAUUGUUUUUCUUACACCCAGCAAGCAAAAACCUUCAAAUAAAUGAACCCAGCAAGGAUUUAUUGGGUCAUCUAGUUCAUACAUAUUUCUGAGUUUUCGAAUCAAGAUUUUCAUCUCCUUUCCCACCCCAAACGAGUAGAAGAGAACCCAGAAACCAUUAGAGGAAAAAGAAGCUUAAAUUUGGAAAGCAAAUCAGCAGAAGCAAGUUAUGGGAUUUUACCUGUUGAAAUUGAACCUUCAAAUUCAGAGGAGAAGAGUGAGAGAGACUGAGAAGAGACAGAGCUCUGAAACUAAAACCCUAACGCUCCUCCAAGGUUUAUCCAAUACCCCAAUUAUUUGCUGCAGUUUACAAGGACUUUGAGCGAGUCACUCGCCCGUGACCUGUUUGCCUCACCCACAGUUAACCGCUUCAAUCCAUCAAUGGGUUGUUUCAGAGCACAAAGGAGGGCUCAGUACUUGCUCAUGGAAGAAGUGCAAGAGCUCGAAGAUGCCUCUGCUCGCAGACUCAAUUCCCUCCCUCAACAACUCAGGUGCCCUUUUAUUGAAGUUCCAGAUUUCAUUUAUGUGUUUUAUGUAUAUUAGUCCGACUAUAAAACAAACAUUUAUUGUCUAUUAAACAAUCCACUAUGAAUAUGUUGUCGCUAAUCUAUCGAUAAUAUAAUCGCAAACAAAACAUAUUGACAUGUUUUUUUUAUGAGGACACUGCUUGAAUGAGUCAGUGGUGCUGGUGGAUCAUACUCGUUUGUAUGUGCUUUUAAAAUAACUAAAAGCGCUUUUAGAGAAAAUGUUUUUGAGUUCCAAAAGCACUUGAAGUGCUUUCUGUAAGAUGCACCAAUUAUGUGCUUCUUCCAGGAAGCACUUUAAGUACUUUUCCAGGAUUUACUUGUAUCUUUACUAAAGAUUGAUUCUAAAAACAUUUUCACUAAAAACGCUUUCAAUCGUUUUAAAAGUACAUUCAAACAAGCUGGACCAAGCAUGAUAACAUUUUUGAACCAUCAUUUAUCUUCGGGUCGAUUAGAUAGUGACUUUAAUUACAAACCAAGGAGGAAAACAAGGCUUCUCUUCUCAAACCAAAGAAUACACACAGGCAACUAGUGUUUACUUAUACAACACCAUGCCCCCAAAAGGGAAGGCAGCCAUUAUUCAUACAACACCUAUUUCUAUCAUUUUCCUUUUUCUCCACCGGUCUGACCACUCUUCAAACUUCGUAUCCACAGCCAUAAACACCACCAAUAGGAACUAUUUACAUAGAUUCAGACAAAAAAUAAGCAAUAAUGUUGUUAAUUGGAUGUCUUUGGACCCAACAUUUUAGCAAGCGCCUUAAUAAUUGGCUUCUCUUUUAUAUUUUCGUCCCUUUCCAAGCGCCAUUUCUUCGACGUUUUUUCAG